rnacentral:misc_RNA from 1 species
GAUUGCACGCCGCGAGGACUCUGAGUGCGAUCGAUCUCAAACUCACCACCAGAUCGCGACUCCCCAUUCUUCAAUCCCUCCAAAAUCGACGCCACCCCCUCUCCAAAUCCGCCACCCCCUUCCCGAUCUCAACCUCCGCAAGGGUUUCAAUGGGGAAGGGCGGCCAGGAUCACGGCAUCGCCGCCACCCCCGCCGCCGCCGACACCUUCCCGGCCUGGGCCCGCACCAUCCCCGAAUGCGAAUCCCACUUCUCCGUCUCCGCCGCUGUCGGCCUCUCCUCCGACGAAG